ensembl:snoRNA
AUCCUUUUGUGAGGAUAAGGAUAUGUUUGGGUUUUCACUUGUGUGAGAUGUGCCUCCCUCAGACCUUGUUAUAUCAGCACGUUUCCCAUUGGAUG